AGGAAGCCAGGUCCCCCACCUCUUCUCCCUUUGUGUUUCCCACACAGUCUUCCAGAGGUCUUGCAUGGCUAUCCUGUUGCAGUGCCUCAGUGAAUACUGGCCUUCAGCCUAGAAUGCCUCUUGCUCCUUGGCCUGGCUUCUUGGUCAUCAGCAAUCAGUGCACCAGGUGGGACAAUCAUUCCAAGAACUGGAAUUUCCCAGGAAUCUCACGCUGGGAGAAGGAAAAGGCUGGUGCUAGCCAGAGGAGCUGGUCUCCUGGGCAGAGACUCCACAGAGUUCUUCCAACUUGUCAGACCAUCUUGCAGGAGGGAGUGGAGCGGAGACAAAUAUGGUUGCUUAUCUGUUUAACUGGUCUUGGAGUGAGGUGGGUGAGCUCAGCUUGUUAGAGCUUCCAGGGCCCAGCUUAGGUAAGACUCCGGGCUCAGGAACCUGCUGAAGUUUCCCACACAAUUCCAGAGGAGGGCCUGGAGACUACUGCGCGAUUUCACAGGUAGGGAAACUGAGAAAAUGGA